GUUCCUCCUUGGCACCGUUACAGUGAGCGGAAGCGGCGGCGGCGGCGGCGGCGGGGAGAAUUGACUGAGGUUGUAAUUCCUUGUGGUCAAGCUCCGCCGAGUGGAUCUGAGAAGCAGAAAUUGGCGGUUCCUGUCGGUCUUUUUCAUUGAGAAACAGAAGAGGGAGAGGGACGCAGCCCACAACGCAAAACAGGAAAAGGGAGAGAGGGGGAAAGCAGCCGGAAAAAUACACUUCGGUUGACGGCGUCCGGUAUUGAGUCGACGGAAAGGAAGACGUUGGCGUUGACGGCGUCGAACGGCAACCAGGUUGUCGACGGUAAUCUGUGUACAGAGGGUUGACGGCGUUGAACGGCUAUUGGACGGAAUAUUGACGUUGAACGGUGGUGAGUACCGACGUGUCGUUUUUCCGGCGUGUUUAUCACGGUGAAGGGGGUUAUUCUGCCGUGGGUUCUUCAGUUGUGCGGUGGUUGUUCGACAGGUGGGCCUUCGAUAAGGAUGGGUUUUGGGUCUCGGUAUCAGAAAUAACAGCCGUCGUGUGGGUUUUUCAGUCUUUUGGUGUUUGGUCGACCGUAUAGUCAAGUUCGGUGCUAUUCAUUAGAGAUUCUUGUUAUCUUUGUUGAUAUUGGUACUUGGAAUUGUAGACCAAAUUAAUCGAAUCGUAUUAUGGUUAUCUGAA